rnacentral:rRNA from 1 species
UUAAAUUGAAGAGUUUGAUCAUGGCUCAGAUUGAACGCUGGCGGCAGGCCUAACACAUGCAAGUCGAACGGUAACAGGAAGCAGCUUGCUGCUUUGCUGACGAGUGGCGGACGGGUGAGUAAUGUCUGGGAAACUGCCUGAUGGAGGGGGAUAACUACUGGAAACGGUGGCUAAUACCGCAUAACGUCGCAAGACCAAAGAGGGGGACCUUCGGGCCUCUUGCCAUCAGAUGUGCCCAGAUGGGAUUAGCUUGUUGGUGAGGUAACGGCUCACCAAGGCGACGAUCCCUAGCUGGUCUGAGAGGAUGACCAGCCACACUGGAACUGAGACACGGUCCAGACUCCUACGGGAGGCAGCAGUGGGGAAUAUUGCACAAUGGGCGCAAGCCUGAUGCAGCCAUGCCGCGUGUAUGAAGAAGGCCUUCGGGUUGUAAAGUACUUUCAGCGGGGAGGAAGGUGUUGUGGUUAAUAACCGCAGCAAUUGACGUUACCCGCAGAAGAAGCACCGGCUAACUCCGUGCCAGCAGCCGCGGUAAUACGGAGGGUGCAAGCGUUAAUCGGAAUUACUGGGCGUAAAGCGCACGCAGGCGGUCUGUCAAGUCGGAUGUGAAAUCCCCGGGCUCAACCUGGGAACUGCAUUCGAAACUGGCAGGCUUGAGUCUUGUAGAGGGGGGUAGAAUUCCAGGUGUAGCGGUGAAAUGCGUAGAGAUCUGGAGGAAUACCGGUGGCGAAGGCGGCCCCCUGGACAAAGACUGACGCUCAGGUGCGAAAGCGUGGGGAGCAAACAGGAUUAGAUACCCUGGUAGUCCACGCCGUAAACGAUGUCUACUUGGAGGUUGUGCCCUUGAGGCGUGGCUUCCGGAGCUAACGCGUUAAGUAGACCGCCUGGGGAGUACGGCCGCAAGGUUAAAACUCAAAUGAAUUGACGGGGGCCCGCACAAGCGGUGGAGCAUGUGGUUUAAUUCGAUGCAACGCGAAGAACCUUACCUGGUCUUGACAUCCACGGAAGUUUUCAGAGAUGGAUUUGUGCCUUCGGGAACCGUGAGACAGGUGCUGCAUGGCUGUCGUCAGCUCGUGUUGUGAAAUGUUGGGUUAAGUCCCGCAACGAGCGCAACCCUUAUCCUUUGUUGCCAGCGGUCCGGCCGGGAACUCAAAGGAGACUGCCAGUGAUAAACUGGAGGAAGGUGGGGAUGACGUCAAGUCAUCAUGGCCCUUACGACCAGGGCUACACACGUGCUACAAUGGCGCAUACAAAGAGAAGCGACCUCGCGAGAGCAAGCGGACCUCAUAAAGUGCGUCGUAGUCCGGAUUGGAGUCUGCAACUCGACUCCAUGAAGUCGGAAUCGCUAGUAAUCGUGGAUCAGAAUGCCACGGUGAAUACGUUCCCGGGCCUUGUACACACCGCCCGUCACACCAUGGGAGUGGGUUGCAAAAGAAGUAGGUAGCUUAACCUUCGGGAGGGCGCUUACCACUUUGUGAUUCAUGACUGGGGUGAAGUCGUAACAAGGUAACCGUAGGGGAACCUGCGGUUGGAUCACCUCCUUACCUUAAAGAA